CCUACGGGAGGCAGCAGUGGGGAAUAUUGCACAAUGGGCGCAAGCCUGAUGCAGCCAUGCCGCGUGUAUGAAGAAGGCCUUCGGGUUGUAAAGUACUUUCAGCGAGGAGGAAAGGUUAGCGGUUAAUACCCGUUAGCUGUGACGUUACUCGCAGAAGAAGCACCGGCUAACUCCGUGCCAGCAGCCGCGGUAAUACGGAGGGUGCGAGCGUUAAUCGGAAUUACUGGGCGUAAAGCGCAUGCAGGCGGUCUGUUAAGCGAGAUGUGAAAGCCCCGGGCUUAACCUGGGAACUGCAUUUCGAACUGGCAGACUAGAGUCUUGUAGAGGGAGGUAGAAUUUCAGGUGUAGCGGUGAAAUGCGUAGAGAUUUGAAGGAAUACCAGUGGCGAAGGCGGCCUCCUGGACAAAGACUGACGCUCAGAUGCGAAAGCGUGGGGAGCAAACAGGAUUAGAUACCCUGGUAGUCCACGCUGUAAACGAUGUCUAUUAGGAGUCUGUGCCCUUGAGGCGUGGGUUCCAAAGCUAACGCAUUAAAUAGACCGCCUGGGGAGUACGGCCGCAAGGUUAAAACUCAAAUGAAUUGACGGA
rnacentral:rRNA from 1 species